AGCGGCUCGCCUGGUGGCCGCGGCCGCUCACCAGAAUGCUCGGAGUAGCGCGAUCUUGGAUGCGCAAUCCGAUGUCUCUACCUGAAGUCGUUCUGUGGACUCUCAUCCCGGCAAGACGUGGUUGUUAACAAAACAAACAUGUAUGAGUAAUCAAAUAACUAAUAUAGUUAAGUAUAUAUGUUAGGGGACGUACCCAUCCUACGUGACCCUUUUUUUACAAAAUUUUUACCCCUUACCCUUCGGUGACCAUCCGUAGUAUUUGCU
rnacentral:misc_RNA from 1 species